rnacentral:rRNA from 1 species
GACGAACGCUGGCGGCGUGCCUAAUACAUGCAAGUAGGACGCAGUUGCGAACGGGUGAGUAACGCGUAGGUAACUACCUAUUAGAGGGGGAUAACUAUUGGAAACGAUAGCUAAUACCGCAUACUAGUAGAUGGACCUGCGUUGUAUUAGGUAGUAGGUGGGGUAAUGGCCUACCUAGGCAACGCAACAUAGCCGACCUGGGAGGGUGAUCGGCCAAACUGGGACUGGGACACGGCCCAGACUCCUACGGGAGGGAGCAGGAGGGAAACUUCGGCAAUGGGAGGAACCCUGACCGGGCAACGCCGCGGGAGGGAAGAAGGUUUUCGGAUCGGAAAGCUCUGUUGUUAAGGAAGCGGUACUUAACCAGAAAGGGACGGCUAACUACGUGCCAGCAGCCGCGGUAAUUC